rnacentral:rRNA from 1 species
UAGGGAAUCUUCCACAAUGGACGCAAGUCUGAUGGAGCAACGCCGCGUGAGUGAAGAAGGUUUUCGGACCGUAAAGCUCUGUUGUUGGUGAAGAAGGAUAGAGGUAGUAACUGGCCUUUAUUUGACGGUAAUCAACCAGAAAGUCACGGCUAACUACGUGCCAGCAGCCGCGGUAAUACGUAGGUGGCAAGCGUUGUCCGGAUUUAUUGGGCGUAAAGCGAGCGCAGGCGGAAGAAUAAGUCUGAUGUGAAAGCCCUCGGCUUAACCGAGGAAUUGCAUCGGAAACUGUUUUUCUUGAGUGCAGAAGAGGAGAGUAGAACUCCAUGUGUAGCGGUGGAAUGCGUAGAUAUAUGGAAGAAUACCAGUGGCGAAGGCGGCUCUCUGGUCUGCAAACUGACGCUGAGGCUCGAAAGCAUGGGCAGCGAACAGGAUUAGAUACCCUGGUAGUCCAUGCCGUAAACGAUGAGUGCUAAGUGUUGGGAGGCUUCCGCCUCUCAGUGCUGCAGCUAACGCAUUAAGCACUCCGCCUGGGGGAGUACGACCGCAAGGUUGAAAC